rnacentral:rRNA from 1 species
AUGGGCGAAAGCCUGAUGGAGCAACGCCGCGUGAGUGAAGAAGGUCUUCGGAUCGUAAAGCUCUGUUGCACGGGACGAAAACUGGGUUUGAAAACAUUGAACCUGGGUGACGGUACCGAGCGAGGAAGCCACGGCUAACUACGUGCCAGCAGCCGCGGUAAUACGUAGGUGGCGAGCGUUGUCCGGAAUUAUUGGGCGUAAAGGGAGCGCAGGCGGACAUAUAAGUCCAUCUUAAAAGUGCGGGGCUCAACCCCGUGAGGGGAUGGAAACUGUAUGCCUUGAGUGCAGGAGAGGAAAGCGGAAUUCCCAGUGUAGCGGUGAAAUGCGUAGAUAUUGGGAGGAACACCAGUGGCGAAGGCGGCUUUCUGGACUGUAACUGACGCUGAGGCUCGAAAGCCAGGGGAGCGAACGGGAUUAGAUACCCCGGUAGUCCUGGCCGUAAACGAUGAAUGCUAGGUGUAGGAGGUAUCGACCCCUCCUGUGCCGGAGUUAACGCAAUAAGCAUUCCGCCUGGGGAGUACGGUCGCAAGACUGAAACUCAAAGGAAUUGACGGGGGCCCGCACAAGCGGUGGAGUAUGUGGUUUAAUUCGACGCAACGCGAAGAACCUUACCAGGGCUUGACAUUGAGUGAAAGAGCUAGAGAUAGCUUCCUCCCUUCGGGGACACGAAAACAGGUGGUGCAUGGCUGUCGUCAGCUCGUGUCGUG